UCUCGGCCCAGGACUCGUCGCCCCGUCGUGUGUUCCUCUUCCGACGCUUCUCUCGUCUUAAGCCCGCGUGCCCUCACCCACGACCUCGCUCCUCAGCGGGAGGGUCGCGAUGGAGGUCCCGCCCCGGCUCUCCCAUGUGCCGCCGCCAUUGUUCCCCUCCGCUCCCGCUACUUUAGCCUCCCGCAGCCUUUCCCAUUGGCGGCCGCGGGCGCCGCGGCAGCUCGCCCCGCUCCUCCCUUCGCUCGCUGCCAGCUCCGCCCGGCAGGGGGCGCGCCGGGCCCAGCGCCACGUCACCGCGCAGCAGCCCUCGCGAUUGGCGGGCGGGGCGGCUAUAAAGGGAGGGCGCAGGCGGCGCCCGGAUCUCUUCCGCCGCCAUUUUAAAUCCAGCUCCAUACAACGCUCCGCCGCCGCUGCCGCCGCGACCCGGACUGCGCGCCAGCACCCCCCGGCCGACAGCUCCGCCGCCAUGGAGGACAUGAACGAGUACAGCAACAUAGAGGAGUUCGCAGAGGGAUCCAAGAUCAACGCGAGCAAGAACCAGCAGGAUGACGGUAAAAUGUUUAUUGGAGGCUUGAGCUGGGAUACAAGCAAGAAAGAUCUGACUGAGUAUUUGUCCCGAUUUGGGGAAGUGGUGGACUGUACGAUUAAGACAGACCCGGUGACCGGAAGAUCGAGAGGAUUCGGAUUUGUGCUUUUCAAAGACGCUGCUAGUGUCGACAAGGUUUUGGAACUGAAAGAACACAAACUGGAUGGCAAAUUGAUAGACCCCAAAAGGGCCAAAGCUUUAAAAGGGAAAGAACCGCCCAAAAAGGUUUUUGUGGGCGGAUUGAGCCCAGAUACUUCUGAAGAACAAAUUAAAGAAUAUUUUGGAGCCUUUGGAGAGAUUGAAAAUAUUGAACUUCCCAUGGAUACAAAAACAAACGAAAGAAGAGGAUUUUGUUUUAUCACGUAUACAGAUGAAGAGCCAGUAAAGAAAUUAUUAGAAAGCAGAUAUCAUCAAAUCGGUUCUGGGAAGUGUGAAAUCAAAGUUGCACAACCCAAAGAGGUAUACAGGCAGCAACAGCAGCAACAAAAAGGAGGAAGAGGUGCUGCAGCUGGUGGACGAGGUGGCACUAGGGGUCGUGGACGAGGUCAGGGCCAAAACUGGAACCAAGGAUUUAAUAACUAUUAUGAUCAAGGAUAUGGAAAUUACAAUAGUGCCUAUGGUGGUGAUCAAAACUAUAGUGGCUAUGGCGGCUAUGAUUAUACUGGGUAUAACUAUGGGAACUAUGGAUAUGGACAGGGAUAUGCAGACUACAGUGGCCAACAGAGCACUUACGGCAAGGCAUCUCGAGGGGGUGGCAAUCACCAAAACAAUUACCAGCCAUACUAAAGGAGGACGUUGGAGAAAACAGCGGGAACUUCAUUGCAGGCCGUGUGUCACCCUGACCACGUCUAUCUCUGGGGGUCGCACGUUGCGGGCAGAGCGCAAGGCAUACACCAGAAAACGCUGUCCUGUGGAGGAAAUUGCUAAAGUUAACCCAUCUUGCAGGACGACAUUGAAGAUUGGUCUUCUGUUGAUCUAAGAUGAUUAUUUUGUAAAAGACUUUCUAGUGUACAAGACACAACUGUGUCCAGCUGUAUAUAGCCGCCAAUUAGUUUUCUUUGUUUUUACUUUGUCUUUUGCUAUCUGUGUUAUGACUCGAUGUGGAUUUGUGUUUAUACAAAUUUUAUUUGUAUGAUUUCAUGUUAAACCUCAAAUAAAUGCUUCCUUAUGUGAUUGUUUUUCUGCGUCAGGUACUAAAUAGCUCUGUAAAAGUGUGAUUUAAAAUAAGCAAUAAUUAAGGCACAGUUUAUUUUGUAGGGAGUAUUGGUCCAUAGGGAGAAACUGGUCCUUUAUGAAUAGCCAGCUACAGUGUCCCCCUGUUAUCCAUUUUUGUUAGAUGUAUACUAUCCUCUAAGGCUUCAUUUUCCUGCUAAAAGAGAUUUCUACCACACCUUUAAUGUUUUUGUGUAUCUGGAGGCCUUGUCAUAGGGUCGCCAGUAGUGGAGGUUUUCUAGCAGACCCAUGAAUCUUUCUGGACUGUGUCUUGGUGAAGUGCACCUUUUUGGCACAAAGCAUGUUGGUAGCUCCUUUCAUGAAUAGAAGAGAUUGUGCUUUGUUCCCGUCUCUGGGAAGCCAUUAGAGAUAAGCUAAAUCAGGAUCCGUGUGGUCUGUUAGAGCUUCGGCUAAUCAUAAUACCCUGACUUUGUUUUCUCGAUUAAAAUGUCCAGAUGUACCCAGGCAAAAGGCCCUGUUAAACUGUAUGUAGAAGCUACAGUUUAAGAGUAUCAAAAACUAAUUUUAACAAGCAUUUUGGCAGAUAGGUGGUUAAAAUUUGAGCAAAUGUUAGAUUGAGGUAUUUGAAGUAGUAGUGGCUGAGGAAAUACAGUUGUAUUCUGGUAUUGUCAAAGCAAGCACCAAACUGAACAAAAUGUUUUCUAUUGGGAUAUUUUUAGGAAGCUAUAUUGGGUGUUAACUGUUAAUGUGGUGUGAGUUCUUAGAAAAAGUCAUGGUAGUAGAUAUCAUCAUUUUUAAUGCAUUAGUGCAUGAGCCGAGUAGUUAAACAUACCCAAAUUCAGAUAUAGGAAGGAGUAAUAGGGGAAAGUACACUUUAAGUUUUAUGUAUGUCAGUGCAAAUCUAAGUGAGUCAUUAAAACAUCUUCCUGGUGCAUCAAAAAGCAGUUUUAGCCCUAGAUUUGGGAUAAUUCCCUGGGUAAACCCAAGUUUUGAAUUUUAACAUUCAGUGUAGUUGGAUUUAAGGUUUUUAAGUUAUAUUUUCUGUGGUUCCACAUUAAGCUCUAGGAUUGGCAUACAUAUUCAAAUGCGUAGUAGUUGACCUCACCUUCAACCAAAUGUUAAUUUUUUAUGCUGAUGAACCUGCCUUUUGUUUCAUUUGGUGCCUGCAACUUUUCUCUGUUCAAUGAUGUUUGUACUUGCUGGCUAUCAAGUUACAAUGCACUUGGCCUCCUUUUGCAUCCUGUUUUGCUAUUUGAUCUUAAACCUAGGCCAAGUACCAAUGUUGGUUAUUGCAAGGGACUGUUCAUUAUAUCGACAUGCAACGUUAGGGAAGGAGGAAGAUUUUGAUUUUAAGUUAUGUUGUCAAAGUCUGUAGGUGCAGUGUCUCUAGAGCAGUGAAUCCUGUUCAAAUUUAUGAUUAGGUGAGAAGUUGACAUUGAGAUUGUCCUUUCCCUGAUCAAAAAUGAAUAAAGGCUUUUUAAACAAAA